rnacentral:rRNA from 1 species
UACGUAGGGGGCUAGCGUUGUCCGGAUUUAUUGGGCGUAAAGCGCGUGUAGGCGGCUUUGCAAGUCGGGUGUGAAAUCCCACAGCUUAACUGUGGAAGUGCGCUCGAAACUGCAGAGCUUGAGUACCGGAGAGGAUGGUGGAAUUCCCCAAGUAGAGGUGAAAUUCGUAGAUAUGGGGAGGAACACCGGUGGCGAAGGCGACCAUCUGGACGGAUACUGACGCUGAGACGCGAAAGCGUGGGUGAGCAAACAGG